GGUUGAUCCAAAUCGUUGCCACCCCUAGCUCCCACUAACCUCGAUACAGAUUGAUUUCUAUUACGAGGGAUUGAGAACAAUUGCUGCCCCAAUAACUGCUUCAAUGUCUUUUCAAUAGAUAUAACAAAGAUAGACUAAAUGUCUAAUUUUGGUUGGAAAGAAUAAAAUAAAUUAGAAAAUGUUGUGAGAUUUAUAUUCAACACAUUCAGUAGUCCUGAUCCCCACACCAAAUUGUUGCAGCACAAUUGGCACAUCUUUGGAUUUCGCAUGUCCUAAUAUCAUGUCAAUUCUGACAUUUAAAAUGUUCAGAGUUACAGAUAUCGCAAUUCCGACUGAUUCCCUGUAGCCUUAACUGCAAACUAGUAUAUUGAUUUUUAGGCAAAAUUUUUACUGUUGGCAGUGGUGCCCUUAUCUAGGAAGCAUAGGAUUUUAUUUUUAUUUUUUGUUUUUUGUUUUGAGUUCAUACAGAUUUCUGAGGGAAUGUUCUUCGUUAUUUUUAUAAAAUACCAUCUGGAUGAUUCAAUCUUUUAUUGAGGCAUGUUGUUUAUGCAGUGCUUUGAAUAUUUUUGCCAUCAUUUCCUGUUACAAAUUUUGUUUUUUAUUCACAAAGCUUUUGAUUUUUGUAGGAAAAGAUAUCCAAGAAGUUUGAUAAAGUUUUGUUGGAUGCUCGUUGUUCUGGAUUGGGUGUCCUCUCCAAGUAAUUGUUCAUGUGCUUGUUUCUAAGAUGCUUUGAUCGGUAGUGGUAGGUGUUUUAUGAACAUGAUUAUUUUCUGCCUUUCCUAAGUCUUCCUUUCCUAUUCAAUUUGUUGUUUAAGAUAGUGGACUUACGUUGGAACCGGAGAUUAGAGGAUUUGGAACAGUUGACAAAUUUACAAGAUGAGCGCCUUGAUGCAGCUUCAUUGAUUUCAUUAUAGAUCUUGCUGAUAGUUCCGUCCCACCUGAUUUUGUUACGGACAAAGGGUUCUUCUUCUCCAACCCAGUCAAACAUCGUCUUGAUGGAUCAUUUGCAGCCCGCCUGGUCCAAUAUGUAGACCACAAAAUGAACCCUGGUUAGCAAGAAAAACGUGAGCCUCUCCUCUUUAAUGAGGACAAGGUAGGGCCAUGAUGUGAUACAAUUAUCCAAAAAGAAACUUAUCUUUUGUAACAAAUGCUGUCAAAAUCGUUAUCAUACUGCAAAUCGUAAUUGGGGUUGAAUCAUAUCGAGUUACAAAUCGUAUCAUAAAUCAUAAGUUUUUAUUUUUA